AAGAGUCGGAUGAGCGGAGACGUUACAUGUUCGGUUCCGUGAGCACAUCAGGGACAAACUCGAAC
rnacentral:misc_RNA from 1 species